rnacentral:lncRNA from 1 species
UAAUAAUAAUAAUAAUAAUAAAUUUUAUUUAUAUCCCGCCCUCCCCAGCCAAAGCCAGGCUCAGGGCGGCUAACAACAAACAAAUAAUCAAACAAUCAAAUAAUCCAACAUUCUAAAACAUUUCAUUAUAAAAUUAAUUAAAAUCAAAUUAAUGGCAACCGUUAAGCAAAGUUCUGUGCAGGUUGCCGGAGGUGGGAGUCAGGCUGGGCCCUGACCAAAGGCCUGGUGGAACAACUCUGUCUUGCAGGCCCUGCGGAAAGAUGUCAGGUCCCGCAGGGCCCUAGUCUCUUGUGACAGAGCGUUCCACCAGAUUGGAGCCGCAGCCGAGAAAGCCCUGGCUCUAGUUGAGGCCAGCCUAACCUCUCUGAGGCCUGGGACCUUCAGGAUGUUUUUAUUUGCAGACCGUAGGUUCCUCUGUGGGGCAUACCAGGAGAGGCGGUCCCGUAGGUACGAGGGUCCUAGGCCGUAUAGGGCUUUAAAGGUUAAAACCAGCACCUUAAACCUGAUCCUGUACUCCACCGGGAGCCAGUGCAGCUGGUAUAGUACCGGAUGAAUGUGAUCUCGCAGCGAAGACCCCAUAAGGAGUCUCGCUGCGGCAUUCUGCACCCGCUGGAGUUUCUGGGUCAGUCUCAAGGGCAGCCCCACGUAGAGCGAGUUACAAUAAUCCAGUCUGGAGGUGACCGUCGCGUGGAUCACAGUGGCUAGGUCAGGGCGAGAGAGAUAAGGGGCCAACUGCUUAGCUUGGCGGAGAUGAAAAAUGCCGCCUUUGUUAUAGCUGUAAUCUGCGCCUCCAUAGAGAGGGAGGUAUCGAAGAUUACACCCAAACUCUUAACGGACGGUGCUGGCACUAAUUGCACCCUCGCAAGAGAUGGGAGUUGCCCCCCCAAUCCCAUAUCGUCCCGUCCCAGCCAGAGGACCUCUGUCUUCGAAGGAUUUAACUUCAACCGGCUUCCGCGUAACCAUCCAGCCACAGCUUCCAAACAUCUGGUCAGUGUGUCUGGGGCCGAGUCAGGAUGGCCAUCCAUCAACAGAUAGAGUUGGGUGUCAUCGGCAUACUGAUGGCAACCCAGCCCAAAACUCCGGACAAGCUGGGCGAGGGGGCGCAUAAAGAUGUUAAAAAGCAUCGGGGAGAGUAUCGCACCCUGAGGCACUCCACACACCAAGGAGUGGCGGGAUGACAAUUCCCCCCCAAGCGCCACCCUCUGUCCCCGACCGGAGAGAAACGAGCGCAGCCAUUGAAGGACUGUGCCCUGGAUCCCCACGUCGGCAAGGCGGUGGUCCAGGAGUUCGUGAUCAACCAUGUCGAAGGCUGCUGACAGGUCUAGAAGAAUCAGCAGCCCCGACCCGCCUCGAUCCAGCUGCCUGCGGAGAUCAUCUGUUAGGGCGACCAGAGCCGUCUCGGUCCCAUGACCAGCGCGGAAGCCAGACUGGAAUGGAUCCAGAGCCGAUGUUUCAUCCAGAAACCUACCAAGCUGUUCAGCAACCGCUCUCUCAAUCACCUUACCCAGGAAUGGAAGAUUCGAAACCGGGCGGUAAUUGGAUAGAUCUAAGGGAUCUAAUGAUGUUUUCUUUAAGAGCGGGCGCACCACUGCCUCCUUCAAUUCCCCUGGAAAUAUCCCGGUGCCAAGGGACAAAUUGAUGAUAUCUCCCAGGGGCCCGCACCUCGUCUGGACACGCUCUAAUCAGCCAAGACGGGCACGGGUCAAGAGGACAGGUGGUGGGCUUUCCAGCUCGGAGGAGUCUGUCCACAUCGGCUGGGGAUAUCCGAUCAAAGUGGUCCAAUACUGGACCCGAGGACAGUCGAGGGGCCUCCAGUUCCUUUAUUGUAUCCAAAUUGGCAGGGAGGUCAUGGCGGAGCAACAGGACCUUCUCCGCAAAAAGCUCGCAAAUGCCUCACAGCUGUGUGUCAGAUUGUUAUUUAAAUUUGGCUGUCCUUCAAGGGACGUUAAAGACCUAAUUAUACUAAAUAAUUGCGCCGGGCGAGAGCUAGCGGAUGCAAUGGAGGCCGAGAAGUAAGACUUCUUAGCGGCCUUCACCGCCAUCUCAUAGGUUUUCAUAAAAACCCUAUAAGAUGUUCUUGAGGCUCCGUCACGGGCACCCCGCCAUACUCGCUCUAGCCGUCUGAGGUCCCGCUUCAUUUUCCGAAGCUCCUCGGUAAACCAGGGAGCCCGGUUUCUGCGGAGUCGCAGAGGGCGCUUAGGUGCGAUCUCAUCUAUGGCUGCCAGGAGCUGGGUAUUCCAGCCCUCAACAAGCUCAGUCAAUGAGUCGCCAGGGGGAGCAAGGUCCCGCAAGGCUUGACGGAAUCUAUCAGGGUCCAUCAGCCUCUGCGGGCGAGCCCAAAUCGGCUCGCCACCUAAGCAGGGUGGGGGUGGAAAGUCAAUCCUGGCUUUCAGAGCGUAGUGAUCAGACCAUGGCACCUUAAUUGAAGGAGACAUGAUCACAUCUAUACCUACGCCAAAGAUCAAAUCCAGCGUGUGGCCUGCUUGAUGUGUGGGGCCUGAAACAAACUGGGAGAGCCCUAGUGUUGCCAUGGAAGACACCAGGUCCAGAGCCUGUGAGGAGGGAGUGGCAUCAGCAUGGAUGUUGAAGUCCCCCAAUACCAAUAGGUUAGGGAACUCCAAGGCCCAGCCGGCCACCGCCUCCAGUAGGCCUGACAGGGUGGCUGCUGGUGCGCUAGGUGGCCGGUACACCAGCCAGACAGCCAAGCUCACCUCAGAGCCCCACACUAGGCCAACACAUUCAAUGCCGGGGAUCGAUGGCGAUGGUAGAGCCCUGAAAGGACAAUCUUCCCGGAUUAAUAAUGCCACCCCUCCCCCGGCCCACAGUCCGUGACUGGUGGAGGACGGAGAAACCCGGGGCGCCAUCUCUCGUAAGGUAACUGUUGCCCCUUCGCGUACCCAGGUCUCCGUCACACAAGCCAGGUCAACCCCUGCGAGGUAAAGAAAUCUCGCAGAGUGGCGGUUUUGUUGCCUAUAGACCUGGCAUUGCACAACACCAGUGACGGAGGUGAGUAAUCCUUGCUCACCCUACCCUCGUCCCUCGGGAUGGGGCGCAGAUUGGAAGGGGUACGAGCAUAUCCGUAUCUCGAUCCCCUUCGCCUAUAACAUCUGCCCCCACCACCAUACCUCCCUCGCCACUCCACAGUAGCAAUCCCAAGCCUCAUACAAGCCUCCAUUUACAAAAUAGAAAACCAAACCAAACUGAAAACAAUUCUACCUAAGCAAAACCAAUCCCCACCCCAAACCACAAUAAAACAGAACAAAAUAAAAAUACAUAGAUAAAAACCACUGUUCACGGUGGUACAAUAACGUAAGAAGUAAAAACACCUUUAAAAUACUUUAAAAUAUAUAAAAACAUUUUUAACAAUUGCUGCGGCAGCACCAGUGUCCUUAAAACUGUAGCGGAGGUGAGUCUGGGCCCCGCCCCCUAGGCCUGGUGGAAUCAGCCUGAAGAGGGAGCGGCCUUCCCCAACACUCACGGUGCAGCAGCAGCGAUGUC